AUUGAACGCUGGCGGCAUGCCUUACACAUGCAAGUCGAACGGCAGCACGGGAGCAAUCCUGGUGGCGAGUGGCGAACGGGUGAGUAAUGUAUCGGAACGUGCCCAGUCGUGGGGGAUAACGUAGCGAAAGCUACGCUAAUACCGCAUACGAUCUAUGGAUGAAAGCGGGGGAUCGCAAGACCUCGCGCGAUUGGAGCGGCCGAUAUCAGAUUAGGUAGUUGGUGGGGUAAAGGCUCACCAAGCCGACGAUCUGUAGCUGGUCUGAGAGGACGACCAGCCACACUGGGACUGAGACACGGCCCAGACUCCUACGGGAGGCAGCAGUGGGGAAUUUUGGACAAUGGGCGCAAGCCUGAUCCAGCAAUGCCGCGUGCAGGAUGAAGGCCUUCGGGUUGUAAACUGCUUUUGUACGGAACGAAACGGUGAGCUCUAAUACAGUUUGCUAAUGACGGUACCGUAAGAAUAAGCACCGGCUAACUACGUGCCAGCAGCCGCGGUAA
rnacentral:rRNA from 1 species